AUAGAGCGGUCCCUCUGCUGAUGAAAACCAGACCAGCCCUGACCCUGCAGCUCUGGGAGAGGAGCCCAGCCUGGGAUUUUCAGGUGUUUGCAUUUGGUGAUCAGCACAGAACACAGAGACUGAACUUACCAUGGAAUUUGUGCUGAGCUGGGUUUUCCUUGUUGCUAUUUUAAAAGGUGUCCAGUGUGAGGUGCAGCUGGUGGAGUCUGGGGGAGGCUUGGUUCAGCCCGGGGGGUCCCUGAGACUCUCCUGUGCAGCCUCUGGAUUCACCUUCAGCGGCUAUGGCAUGCACUGGGUCCGCCAGGCUCCAGGGAAGGGGCUGGAGUGGGUCUCAUACAUUAGUAGUCCUAGUGGUAGUAGCACAUACUACGCAGACUCCGUGAAGGGCCGAUUCACCAUGUCCAGAGACAACGCCAAGAACUCGCUGUAUCUGCAGAUGAACAGCCUGAGAGCCGAGGACACGGCCGUGUAUUACUGUGCGAGACACAGUGAGGGGAAGUCAGUGUGAGCCCGGACACAAACCUCCUGCAGGGGACCCCGCGAC